CCUCUUCCUUAGCCAGGAGUGACAAGUGAUUGCCGAGUGGAUCGCCCGCACUUGAUUUCGCCAUGUUGGUGUCACCGGUAACGAGGAUUGUGAGAGGACCCGUCUCCAGAAUUUUUGCUCGGUCGAUGUUUACAGCAAAAAGAUACGACCCUUCAAGUCCAAACUGGUUUAAUGUCAGCCUAGCGUUUGGAACUUCAUUCGCUCUUUGGGCUCUCCUAUUCAAGCAGCACAGUGAUGAUGUUGCAGAAUAUAAAAAAAGAAAUGGGUUGGAAUAAACCAGUGAUACCAUGGUAAAUUAUAGGAUGACUAGAGCUCCUUGCUUUGAUGGAUUUGUAUGAUGUGCAGCCCAUUUUGUUAUUGUACUUUUCAAUAAAUACUAAUAUGUCCAUUA